rnacentral:rRNA from 1 species
UACGAAGGGGGGCUAGCGUUGCUCGGAAUUACUGGGCGUAAAGGGCGCGUAGGCGGAUAGUUUAGUCAGAGGUGAAAGCCCAGGGCUCAACCUUGGAAUUGCCUUUGAUACUGGCUAUCUUGAGUUCGGGAGAGGUGAGUGGAACUGCGAGUGUAGAGGUGAAAUUCGUAGAUAUUCGCAAGAACACCAGUGGCGAAGGCGGCUCACUGGCCCGGUACUGACGCUGAGGUGCGAAAGCGUGGGGAGCAAACAGG